rnacentral:tRNA from 1 species
GCAAGAGCAGUUCAGUGGUAGAAUUCUCACCUCCCAUGCCAGAGACCUGGGUUCGAUUCCCAGCCAAUGCA